UACGAAGGGGCUAGCGUUGCUCGGAAUUACUGGGCGUAAAGCGCACGUAGGCGGCUUUCUAAGUCGGGGGUGAAAUCCUGGAGCUCAACUCCAGAACUGCCUUCGAUACUGGAGAGCUCGAGUCCGGGAGAGGUGAGUGGAACUGCGAGUGUAGAGGUGAAAUUCGUAGAUAUUCGCAAGAACACCAGUGGCGAAGGCGGCUCACUGGCCCGAUACUGACGCUGAGGCACGAAAGCGUUGGGGAGCAAACAGG
rnacentral:rRNA from 1 species